rnacentral:rRNA from 1 species
CGGGGGGCAGCAGUCGAGGAUCUUCGGCAAUGGGCGAAAGCCUGACCGAGCGACGCCGCGUGCGGGAUGACGGCCUUCGGGUUGUAAACCGCUGUCGUUGGGGAGGAAGUGCAGAGGGGUUCUCCCCUUUGUUUGACCUAUCCAAGGAGGAAGUACGGGCUAAGUUCGUGCCAGCAGCCGCGGUAAGACGAACCGUACGAACGUUAUUCGGAAUUACUGGGCUUAAAGGGUGCGUAGGCGGCGCGGUAAGUUGGGUGUGAAAGCCCUCAGCUCAACUGAGGAACUGCACUCAAAACUACCGUGCUCGAGGGAGACAGAGGUAAGCGGAACUCAAGGUGGAGCGGUGAAAUGCGUUGAUAUCUUGAGGAACACCGGUGGCGAAGGCGGCUUACUGGGUCUUUUCUGACGCUGAGGCACGAAAGCUAAGGUAGCAAACGGGAUUAGAUACCCCAGU